CAGUAGCCGCGGGAAUACGUAGGGUGCGAGCGCUAAUCGGAAUUACUGGGCGUAAAGCGUGCGCAGGCGGUUGUGUAAGACAGGUGUGAAAUCCCCGGGCUUAACCUGGGAACUGCGCUUGUGACUGCACAGCUAGAGUAUGGCAGAGGGGGGUGGAAUUCCACGUGUAGCAGUGAAAUGCGUAGAGAUGUGGAGGAACACCGAUGGCGAAGGCAGCCCCCUGGGCCAAUACUGACGCUCAUGCACGAAAGCGUGGGGAGCAAACAGGAUUAGAUACCCCCGUAGUCCCUGUCUCUUAUAC
rnacentral:rRNA from 1 species